UGCAAGUAGAACGCACAGUUUAUACCGUAGCUUGCUACACCAUARACUGUGAGUUGCGAACGGGUGAGUAACGCGUAGGUAACCUGCCUGGUAGCGGGGGAUAACUAUUGGAAACGAUAGCUAAUACCGCAUAAUAUURAUUAUUGCAUGAUAAUURAUUGAAAGGUGCWAUUGCAYCACUACCAGAUGGACCUGCGUUGUAUUAGCUAGUAGGUGAGGUAACGGCUCACCUAGGCGACGAUACAUAGCCGACCUGAGAGGGUGAUCGGCCACACUGGGACUGAGACACGGCCCAGACUCCUACGGGAGGCAGCAGUAGGGAAUCUUCGGCAAUGGACGAAAGUCUGACCGAGCAACGCCGCGUGAGUGAAGAAGGUUUUCGGAUCGUAAAGCUCUGUUGUAAGAGAAGAACGGGUGUGAGAGUGGAAAGUUCACACUGUGACGGUAUCUUACCAGAAAGGGACGGCUAACUACGUGCCAGCAGCCGCGGUAAUACGUAGGUCCCGAGCGUUGUCCGGAUUUAUUGGGCGUAAAGCGAGCGCAGGCGGUUAGAUAAGUCUGAAGUUAAAGGCUGUGGCUUAACCAUAGUACGCUUUGGAAACUGUUUAACUUGAGUGCAGAAGGGGAGAGUGGAAUUCCAUGUGUAGCGGUGAAAUGCGUAGAUAUAUG
rnacentral:rRNA from 1 species